UGGGGAAUAUUGCACAAUGGACGCAAGCCUGAUGCAGCCAUGCCGCGUGUAUGAAGAAGGCCUUCGGGUUGUAAAGUACUUUCAGCGGGGAGGAAGGGAGUAAAGUUAAUACCUUUGCUCAUUGACGUUACCCGCAGAAGAAGCACCGGCUAACUCCGUGCCAGCAGCCGCGGUAAUACGGAGGGUGCAAGCGUUAAUCGGAAUUACUGGGCGUAAAGCGCACGCAGGCGGUUUGUUAAGUCAGAUGUGAAAUCCUCGGGCUCAACCUGGGAACUGCAUCUGAUACUGGCAAGCUUGAGUCUCGUAGAGGGGGGUAGAAUUCCAGGUGUAGCGGUGAAAUGCGUAGAGAUCUGGAGGAAUACCGGUGGCGAAGGCGGCCCCCUGGACGAAGACUGACGCUCAGGUGCGAAAGCGUGGGGAGCAAACAGG
rnacentral:rRNA from 1 species